UGGGGUAUAGUUCAGGGGCAGAGCACCUCUCUGCAGGUGUGAGGCCCAGGGUUCCAUCCCCAGUACCCCAG
rnacentral:tRNA from 1 species